rnacentral:lncRNA from 1 species
UUCCUGCAGGGGCGGAGAAGCCAUCACUGCCUUAAACCUCGACCCGACGAUUUCGGUAAGCCUCUCAAAUCCCUCCAAGAUUAUGGUUGGAUUUCUUUGCCUCCGAGAAACUAGAAAUUGAAAGGUCCAAAUGAUCAACUCUACGAUCAGUUGUUACAAUUAAUAGGUGUUCAAAUCGUUCAUUUGUAUAAAUUCAAACCCUUUUUUAUUUUUAUUGGAUGAUCGUUAUACUUCCCAAAGACCAAAAUUCUUGACCGGUCGAGGAACAAUAUCACCAUUUUUGCUAAAAAAGAUAGCAAAUUGAAAAGAAAAACAUAGAAUAGAAAAAUGAUGCUUUGGACACAAAAAGAUUAAUGGGAGUUGUCACAUGCUUAUUCCUUGGUUAAAAGGGCCACACCAAAGUGUAUUAUGCUGAUCUGUUUCAUCAAAAUAUUUAAUAAAUUUGAUGUACGGUAAGCACGAAAAGUUUGUAGUAGUAUUGCCGAUGGAGGAUGGUGAACAUAUGAUGUCUGCAGUGAAAAUGUGUGCGCUGGGAGUGGCCACAAUGCAACAUCUGGCAAAAGAAGGAUUGCAGCGACAAAUGUUGAUCUUUGAUCAACAAAAAAGACCGUGUUUAAUGUAUUCUGGACAUGAUGCUUCUAGUAUAUCGAUCAUGGCUAUAUGUUUUCCAGGGUUCUUUAUGGUCGCAGAAGCACCC